CCUACGGGAGGCAGCAGUGAGGGAUAUUGGUCAAUGGGCGAAACCCUGAACCAGCAACGCCGCGUGAAGGAAGACGGUUUUCGGAUUGUAAACCUCUGUCCUCUGUGAAGAUAAUGACGGUAUCAGUAGAGUAAGCUCCAGCUAAAUACGUGCCAGCAGCCGCGGUGAUACGUAGGGAGCGAGCGUUGUACGGAUUUACUGGGUGUAAAGGGUGCGUAGGCGGGCCUGCAAGUCAGAAGUGAAAUCCAUGGGCUUAACCCGUGAACUGCGUUUGAAACUGUAGUGCUUGAGUGAAGUAGAGGCAGGCGGAAUUCCUGGUGUAGCGGUGAAAUGCGUAGAGAUCGGGAGGAACACCAGUGGCGAAGGCGGCCUGCUGGGCUUUAACUGACGCUGAAGCACGAAAGCGUGGGUAGCAAACAGGAUUAGAUACCCCUGUAGUC
rnacentral:rRNA from 1 species